rnacentral:tRNA from 1 species
GGGGUUAUGGCUCAGUGGUAGAGCGCUUGCCUAGCAUGUAUGAGGCACUGGGUUCAAUUCUCAGCACUACCU